rnacentral:rRNA from 1 species
GACGAACGCUGGCGGCGUGCCUAAUACAUGCAAGUCGAACGCACUCUCGUUUAGAUUGACGGAGUUUGCUCCUGAUUGAUAAACAUUUGAGUGAGUGGCGGACGGGUGAGUAACACGUGGGUAACCUGCCCUAAAGUGGGGGAUAACAUUUGGAAACAGAUGCUAAUACCGCAUAAAACCUAACACCGCAUGGUGUAGGGUUGAAAGAUGGUUUCGGCUAUCACUUUAGGAUGGACCCGCGGUGCAUUAGUUAGUUGGUGAGGUAAAGGCUCACCAAGACCGUGAUGCAUAGCCGACCUGAGAGGGUAAUCGGCCACACGGGGAGUGAGACACGGCCCAGACUCCUACGGGAGGCAGCAGUAGGGAAUCUUCCACAAUGGACGAAAGUCUGAUGGAGCAACGCCGCGUGAGUGAAGAAGGUUUUCGGAUCGUAAAACUCUGUUGUUGGAGAAGAAUGUAUCUGAUAGUAAAUGAUCAGGUAGUGACGGUAUCCAACCAGAAAGCCACGGCUAACUACGUG